rnacentral:rRNA from 1 species
AGCGAACGCUGGCGGCAGGCCUAACACAUGCAAGUCGAACGACCCUUUCGGGGUUAGUGGCGGACGGGUGAGUAACACGUGGGAACGUGCCUUUAGGUUCGGAAUAACUCAGGGAAACUUGUUCUAAUACCGAAUGUGCCCUUCGGGGGAAAGAUUUAUCGCCUUUAGAGCGGCCCGCGUCUGAUUAGCUAGUUGGUUGAGGUAAUGGCUCACCAAGGCGACGAUCAGUAGCUGGUCUGAGAGGAUGAGCAGCCACAUUGGGACUGAGACACGGCCCAAACUCCUACGGGAGGCAGCAGUGGGGAAUCUUGCGCAAUGGGCGAAAGCCUGACGCAGCCAUGCCGCGUGAAUGAUGAAGGUCUUAGGAUUGUAAAAUUCUUUCACCGGGGACGAUAAUGACGGUACCCGGAGAAGAAGCCCCGGCUAACUUCGUG